UGCGCAGGAGAGUCACGGAGACGAACACCAUGGAGAAGAUGCAGAAGGCGGCCGACACUCCCAGAGUGAUGAAGAGGUACAAGCGACACUCACGCUCCUCGAGGGACUCCUGCUGCACCUCGUCCUCUGUUGAUUUAAAGAGUGUGGCGUUGACGGUGAGGGCGAGAUGGAGGAAGAGAGGCUCGUGACUGGAGGAGGAUAGGGCGGUCCGGAUGGCGCGGACCCACCUAACGUGACUGGAACGACUGUGGUGAACGUGUGGCUCACCGCUCGCUUUCGUCUUCCAAAACCAAGGAAGUCUGUUUCCCCUACACCGCCACAAUUAACCUGCAAGACAAUGGAGGAGAAGCAUAAUACAUUGUUUCAUCAACAGAUGUGAUUAUAAUUAUAACUGAUGAUGAAUGAUUAACAUAUAUUUCAUCAAUCAAGGAAA